rnacentral:rRNA from 1 species
GAUGAACGCUGGCGGCGUGCCUAAUACUUGCAAGUCGAGCGAACAGAUGAGGAGCUUGCUCCUCUGACGUUAGCGGCGGACGGGUGAGUAACACGUGGAUAACCUACCUAUAAGACUGGGAUAACUUCGGGAAACCGGAGCUAAUACCGGAUAAUAUAUUGAACCGCAUGGUUCAAUAGUGAAAGACGGUUUUGCUGUCACUUAUAGAUGGAUCCGCGCCGCAUUAGCUAGUUGGUAAGGUAACGGCUUACCAAGGCAACGAUGCGUAGCCGACCUGAGAGGGUGAUCGGCCACACUGGAACUGAGACACGGUCCAGACUCCUACGGGAGGCAGCAGUAGGGAAUCUUCCGCAAAGGGCGAAAGCCUGACGGAGCAACGCCGCGUGAGUGAUGAAGGUCUUCGGAUCGUAAAACUCUGUUAUUAGGGAAGAACAAAUGUGUAAGUAACUAUGCACGUCUUGACGGUACCUAAUCAGAAAGCCACGGCUAACUACGUG